rnacentral:rRNA from 1 species
UACGUAGGGUGCAAGCGUUAAUCGGAAUUACUGGGCGUAAAGCGUGCGCAGGCGGUUGUGUAAGACAGAUGUGAAAUCCCCGGGCUCAACCUGGGAACUGCAUUUGUGACUGCACAGCUGGAGUGCGGCAGAGGGGGAUGGAAUUCCGCGUGUAGCAGUGAAAUGCGUAGAUAUGCGGAGGAACACCGAUGGCGAAGGCAAUCCCCUGGGCCGGCACUGACGCUCAGGCACGAAAGCGUGGGGAGCAAACAGG